UUGCCGCCCAAACCUUCAACGACGAUUAGGGAAAGUUUAAAUCAGUGAUUGAUUCCGCGUUUCCUUUUUCCUCGGCAAUCUUGUAUCUGGCCGUGAUAGUGUGCACCAAUCCCACGCGUUUUCUUCAAUCAACCAAGUUUUAUAAUAGGCAAAAAAAUCAAGAGUUUCAAUCACAUAAAUCCUAGCGUGUUCUUCAAACCCGAGCGCUAUAAGUUCGAGAGCACACAGGCUCUAUUUAUUUUUCACCACUCCCCACCUCUCUCUCUAAUCAAUACCGUGAAGAACGACGUCUUGCUGAACCCGCCGGAGAAAUCCAGAUGUCGUCGGGAUUUAGCGUAACUUACCGGAGAUCGGAGAACAAGUCGGAAACCCGCAAGCUUGUUUCGGUGAACAGGUACGAACAGAAGAUUGGACAUAGGAUGGACCUUAGUUAACAAGAAACGGAUUAGCCUAGUGUAGUUUAUUAGUUAUGAAAAAAUGUCUUGUGUUUGUAAUUGUGUAUUUGAAUUAUUUGUUUCGUGAAACAUUUGUUAUGAAUUAAUGAUUAUU
rnacentral:lncRNA from 1 species